UUCUGGCUAUGAUGAACACCGUUUAAAAAACACAGUUAUCCCUAUCUUAGCACACACAAAUCAGUGCUGAUACCUUUCUGUCUGAGCCUAUU
rnacentral:snoRNA from 1 species